rnacentral:snRNA from 1 species
AAAACAAGACGGCUGCAAUGGCGCGAUUUUGGAUGGGGUCUUACCUACGAACACUGAAAAUUGCAAGGCUUGUCCAUUGCACUCCGGCCAUGCUGAUCCCUGCGAAUUCCCCAAAUGCGGGAAUCUCGACUGCAUAAUUUAUGGUAGUGGGGGACUGCGUUCACGCUCUCCCCUG